rnacentral:rRNA from 1 species
CUAUCGCUUACAGAUGGGCCCGCGGUGCAUUAGCUAGUUGGUAGGGUAAUGGCCUACCAAGGCAACGAUGCAUAGCCGACCUGAGAGGGUGAUCGGCCACACUGGGACUGAGACACGGCCCAGACUCCUACGGGAGGCAGCAGUAGGGAAUCUUCCGCAAUGGACGAAAGUCUGACGGAGCAACGCCGCGUGUAUGAAGAAGGUUUUCGGAUCGUAAAGUACUGUUGUUAGAGAAGAACAAGGAUAAGAGUAACUGCUUGUCCCUUGACGGUAUCUAACCAGAAAGCCACGGCUAACUACGUGCCAGCAGCCGCGGUAAUACGUAGGUGGCAAGCGUUGUCCGGAUUUAUUGGGCGUAAAGCGCGCGCAGGCGGUCUUUUAAGUCUGAUGUGAAAGCCCCCGGCUUAACCGGGGAGGGUCAUUGGAAACUGGAAGACUGGAGUGC